rnacentral:pre_miRNA from 1 species
AGUGAAAUUACUGGUGAAUAUAGUAAUUCUGUGUUUAACCUUUUGAGAAAUUGCUGCAUUGUUUUCCAAAGUGGGUAUGCCAUUUUACAUCCCCACUAGCAGU